rnacentral:snRNA from 1 species
AUGCUUGCUUCAGCAGCACACAUACUAAAAUUGGAACAAUACAGAGGAGAUUAGCAUGGCCCCUGCACAAGGAUGACACACAAAUUCGUGAAGGAUUCCAUAUUUUC